UACGAAGGGUGCAAGCGUUACUCGGAAUUACUGGGCGUAAAGCGUGCGUAGGCGGUUUGUUAAGUCUGUCGUGAAAGCCCUGGGCUCAACCUGGGAAUGGCGAUGGAUACUGGCAAGCUAGAGUACGGUAGAGGAUGGUGGAAUUCCCGGUGUAGCGGUGAAAUGCGUAGAGAUCGGGAGGAACACCCGUGGCGAAGGCGGCCAUCUGGACCAGUACUGACGCUGAGGCACGAAAGCUGGGGGAGCAAACAGG
rnacentral:rRNA from 1 species